CUCAUUUAAAAUAGACUGGAAGUGGUGUUUUCCUCAAAUGUAUCCAUUGCUUUGGACAAUCACAGUCUUGACUCUAGCUGCAAUCAAUAAGUUUUGGACCAGUGUUGAAGACCCCCCAAACUGCUCCCCCUGGAGUCUUUUUCUAUGUAAUGUGAGCAGUAGGCAGACUACAACACCUGCGUCUUAGGGAGAUACACAGAAAACCUGAGAUGACAGACCAGGAGUGAGGACAACAUUUGAAAUUCAUUUCUUUGGGAGAAAACCUUGUGGGUUAAGGUACACAACAGAGCAGACUGGGCAGAAAAUGUUGAGUCUCAAGCGGUGACUACAUCAAUGAAGAGUUGCUGGUAAUGCAAAAGGACACUAAGUGAAUUGUAAUUUAACAGAAAAAGCAGUGGGUUAGAAUUUAACCUGGCACUUUCUGGAAAAAUCAAGAAGCAUCAUAUCAAACUGAGGGUGUGGCCCAUUACUAUCUGAAAAUGAGAUCAAGAAGAGAGAAAAUUGUUUCUUUUGAACUCGGAAAAAGGGGAGCUAUUUCACAUAAACACUGAAGAAGUAUGAGCUGCCUUCUGAAUGUAAUGCAAAGUUCCUUUGGAAAUAGCAACUGGUUGUUACUUGGAAAAUUAGC
rnacentral:lncRNA from 1 species